rnacentral:rRNA from 1 species
GACCUGGAGGCUUGCUACUUCGCUGUCGGCUCUUCCUAUCCUGGUGGUGCAGCAGCUGCCAAGGGUGGGGUUGUUCGCCCAUUAAAAGGGAUCGUGAGCUGUGUUUAGACCGUCGUGAGACAGGUUUGUUGAUUUUUGGUGGAAGUGCAUUGGUGCCUGACGAGAAGAACCCUUUAGUACGAGAGGAACGGGGGUUCGCGGCCUCUAGUUAACCAGUUGUCCGGCAGGGCAUAGCUGGGCAGCCACGCCGUAAUGGAUAAGAGCUGAAAGCAUCUAAGCUCGAAACCACCUUGAAAAAGAGGCACCUUAAGACGCUCGUAAAUGACGAGAUUGAUAGAACCGGGAUGUAAGUAUCGAGGUUCGCCGAGAUAUUCAGUCCGCGGUUACUAAAGUCUAUGGCCGCAUAGUA